rnacentral:rRNA from 1 species
AUCUAUGGCCAUGCCACUCUGAACAAGCCCGAUCCCAUCUGAUCUUGGAAGCUAAACAAGGUUGGGUCUGGUUAGUACUUGGACGGGAGACCACCUAGGAAGACCAGGUGCUGUAGGUG